UACGUAGGCAGCGAGCGUUGUUCGGAGUUAUUGGGCGUAAAGCGUGCGUAGGCGGUGUCUUAAGUUUGUUGUGAAAUCUCCCGGCUUAACCGGGAGGGUGCGGCGAAUACUGAGAUGCUGGAGUGCCGGAGAGGUAAGCGGAAUUCCUGGUGUAGCGGUGAAAUGCGUAGAUAUCAGGAGGAACACCUGCGGUGUAGACGGCUUACUGGACGGUAACUGACGCUGAGGCACGAAAGCGUGAGUAGCAAACAGG
rnacentral:rRNA from 1 species